GUGCCAGCCGCCGCGGUAAUACCGGCAGCCCGAGUGAUGACCGAUCUUAUUGGGCCUAAAGCGUCCGUAGCUGGCUACGCAAGUCCGUCGGGAAAUCCACUCGCCCAACGAGUGGGCGUCCGACGGAAACUGCAUAGCUUGGGACCGGAAGGCUCGAAGGGUACGUGCGGGGUAGGAGUGAAAUCCCGUAAUCCCGGACGGACUACCGAUGGCGAAAGCACUCUGAGAAGACGGCUUCGACAGUGAGGGACGAAAGCUCGGGUCUCAAACCGGAUUAGAAACCCGUGUAGUCC
rnacentral:rRNA from 1 species